rnacentral:piRNA from 1 species
UGGUGAUCAUAUCGGAGGAUUUGGAAAAA